rnacentral:rRNA from 1 species
GACGAACGCUGGCGGCGUGCUUAACACAUGCAAGUCGAACGGAAAGGCCCUGCUUGCAGGGUACUCGAGUGGCGAACGGGUGAGUAACACGUGGGUGAUCUGCCCUGCACUUCGGGAUAAGCCUGGGCAACUGGGUCUAAUACCGGAUAGGAGCCAUUUUUAGUGUGAUGGUUGGAAAGUUUUUUCGGUGUAGGAUGAGCUCGCGGCCUAUCAGCUUGUUGGUGGGGUAAUGGCCUACCAAGGCGGCGACGGGUAGCCGGCCUGUGAGGGUGGACGGCCACAUUGGGACUGAGAUACGGCCCCGACUCCUACGGGAGGCAGCAGUGGGGAAUAUUGCACAAUGGGCGCAAGCCUGAUGCAGCGACGCCGCGUGGGGGAUGACGGCCUUCGGGUUGUAAACUCCUUUCGCUAGGGACGAAGCUUUUUGUGACGGUACCUAGAUAAGAAGCACCGGCUAACUACGUG